AGCAGCAGCCGCGGUAAUACGGAGGGGGCUAGCGUUGUUCGGAAUUACUGGGCGUAAAGCGCACGUAGGCGGCUUGGUAAGUUAGAGGUGAAAGCCUGGAGCUCAACUCCAGAAUUGCCUUUAAGACUGCCGAGCUAGCAGGUGAGAGAGGUAAGUGGAAUUCCGAGUGUAGAGGUGAAAUUCGUAGAUAUUCGGAAGAACACCAGUGGCGAAGGCGGCUUACUGGCUCAUACUGGACGCUGAGGUGCGAAAGCGUGGGGAGCAAACAGGAUUAGAUACCCCUGUAGUCCCUGUCUCUUAUAC
rnacentral:rRNA from 1 species